ACGACAAUUAUUAGAGAGUUUGAUAUAAUUAGCAAAACUCGAGAUUAGUAUUACAGAUACGUGAUAUUAGCAAGACCCGGAUUUAUAUCAGAUACAGAUUUACCGAGAUACUGAAGGAUUUAUUAGUCACACCACAACUUUUCAAACUUUACAAUCACUCAUUUCCUACAUACCUAUUACAACACCAGCUAGCAAGAAAAAAGAAAAGAAAAAGGUAGUGUGCGAGUGUGGUGAAUAGCUGCAGCAGCUCACUCCCUUCCCUGCAACAGCAACGGCUAUCCUAUCUCUGCAGCAAGCCCACUCUUCCAUUACUCCAGCCAUACACAAGGUACACAAAGGGCUCAAAUCAGCCACUCUACUGUUGUACCACCCUACAGACUACUCAAGUAUAGUUACUAAUACACUCCUUCAAACAAACAAAUCAGCAGCAACUCUCUUCCAUUUUACUUCCCAUUUCCCCUCCAUGCUACACUAAUAACCCACGAGGAGGAAUUCCAUUCAUUGCUCUACUGCCAAACUUUAGAGGUAAGAUUUGGCUUAACUCCCUCCAUUCCUAAGCUCAACCUGCAUCGUUUGAGAAACAAUCUUUAUAUUACAGUUUAUCGUCCCACCGAUUCAAUCACACAGCAGCCACCCAAACACAAGCAUUCACAGGUAAAUACUAAGCUCUCUUAUUUUUGAAUCCAGUUCGCAUAUCAUCCAACAAGCAUGAUUAAUUAGAAAGGCAGACUGUGUAUAGAUGUAUAUUUGCAUAAUGGACUUAGCAAAGUCACACACUUACGUAAUCUAGAAUGAGCUUGAGUUAUUACAGAAAGAACAGCAUAAUCGGUAGUCACCUAGAACAACCAACAACCUAUAAGCUCUCACACAAGUCAAAUGCAUUGAGAAUUUGCAUAAUCAGUAGCAAAACCACAGCAUUUCAUAACAAGAGUAUAGAAUAACCAAGAUUUCACGAGCUAUGAGAAUAGCAUCAAAUCGAAGAGCAUAAUAUAUGAUCGAAAACAGAAUAUCCUAGGAUUGUUGAAGUUAGCUUUUGAGGGGGGGAGCCGACUGUCCUGUUUAGUCGAGCUCAAGGAAGCGACGACGGCGAGCUGCCUCGUCGGAAUCUGAGUACAGCAGCAACGGAGGCGGUGGGCCCUCACCUGCUCGCCCGAGAAACGCAACAGCAGCCUCAGCCUCACCCAUUUUUAGAAGCUUAUCGAAGGCAAAACUCCAGGUAACGGUGACCCGGCGGUGGGUUUCAAAAUUUUUUUUUUUGAGGAAUUGGACGGUGGACGGAGGCGGCGGCGGAAAUCUCGAAGGCAGCCGACGACGCAGCAAUAGGCAAACGUGAGCAGGCCUCUGCUUUGCCAGAGAUGAAGGGACGACGAUCGCUUGCUGAUUUUAGCACAACAACGGCGAUUUCUGUGAAGAGGGUCAAGGGCUCAAUCCCUUUUCUCAACGGUGUGCGUGGAAUCUGAUCUUGUAGAGGGGAAAUUGUGAGAAGGAGAGUCGGAGGUGAGACACGGCCGCGCCGGAAUUUCAGGGCGGCGGCGGUUCGGCGAAGAGGUGGCAACGGCUGACUGGAGUGCACGGCCGAUUUUGGUUCUCAGUGUGAGACUUUGAGAAAAGGAGUUCAGCGUGAAGGAAAUUUUAAGAGGAGAAAGAAGCUGGUGUUUGGGCUGAAGCUGUUAUGUGGGCC
rnacentral:lncRNA from 1 species